GAUUAUGAUGAACCCCAAAGAUUAGGAUAAUAAUUUUAGGAGACAUGAAUUGGUCAUGCUAGUAAGAUCUAAAAUCUUAAAAUUCUAAUAUUAAAUAUUUCUGGUCGUAGGAGCAUUGAGUCAGGGAUCAAUAUUCCGGAUAGACUGGUACAUCCUAUGUAUACUCAAUGGAGAGGGUGGCAGAUCUCACUAGCCACUUGUGUGAGACACUAAUACAAGGAUGUGGGUGCUCAUUUAAGAAAUGAGUCUACUGAAUUGACUUGAUAAAAGAGAACAUCUUAUGGAAGCCUUAUUUGCAUGUCAAAGAUGGUUCUCUAAGUGGGACUUGUGCAAGUGACCCUU
rnacentral:lncRNA from 1 species